rnacentral:SRP_RNA from 1 species
GGCGGGUCUCCUCGCAUUGUUAGGUCGUGAAUCGGGUCAGGUCCGGAAGGAAGCAGCCACAGCGACUGAGGCAAGUGCCGGGGGUCGGGCUCGCCACC